AAUCGAACCCGGAGAUAGCUGGUUCUCCUCGAAAUAGCUUUAGGGCUAGCCUCAUGGAUCAUUGGUGGGGGUAGAGCACUGAAUGUGCGCGGGGGCCACAAAGCCUACCAAACGCUAUCAAACUUCGAAUACCAUACAAUGCAGACCAUGGGAGUCAGUCCGCGAGAGAUAAGUUCCGCGGGCAAAAGGGGAACACCCCAGAUCAACCGCUAAGGUCCCCAAGUUCACGUUAAGUGGAGAAGGAUGUGGAAUUGCACAGACAACCAGGAUGUUGGCUCAGAAGCAGCCACACAUUUAAAGAGUGCGUAAUAGCUCACUGGUCGAGUGAUUGUGCGCCGAAGAUGUCCGGGGCUAAACGUGACACCGAAGCGAUGGGUGCAUCUGAAGAAGAUGCGCGGUAGAGGAGCAAUGUGCAGAGGCAGAAGCCGUAUCGAGAGGCACGGUGGACACUGCACAAGAGAGAAUGCCGGUAUGAGUAGCGAGAGGCAUGCGAGAAACAUGCCCGUCGAAAGCCCAAGGUUUCCUGGGGAAGGUUCAUCCGCCCAGGGUAAGUCGGGGCCUAAGCCGAGGACGGAAGUCGUAGGCGAUGGACAGCAGGUGUAGAUUCCUGCACUACCGAUGGAAUGAAGCAGUGACACAGAAGGAUAACUCGAGCAGGGUGAUGGUCAACCCUGUGCAAGCAUCAAGGUUGGGUUGUAGUGAAGUACGCAACCCUACAAGCUGAGAUGUGAUGCGGACCGAAAUUUCAGUAGGGAAGCGAGUGAGUUCACGCUGGCGAGAAAAGCUGCUAGUAUAUCCAAAGGUACCCGUACCGGAAACCGACGCAGGUGGGCGAGGAGAGAAUCCUGAGACGAACGGGAGAACCCUUGUUAAGGAACUCGGCAAAAUGACCCCGUAACUUCGGGAUAAGGGGUGCCUGCGAGAGCAGGCCGCAGAGAAUAGUCACAAGCGACUGUUUAGCAAAAACACAGGUAUCUGCGAAAGCGAGAGCUGACGUAUAGGUGCUGACACCUGCCCGGUGCUGGAAGGUUAAGGGAACAUGUUAGAGCAAUCGAAGCAUCGAACCGAAGCCCCAGUAAACGGCGGCCGUAACUAUAACGGUCCUAAGGUAGCGAAAUUCCUUGUCGGGUAAGUUCCGACCCGCACGAAUGGUGUAACGACUUGUGAGCUGUCUCAACAGGGGGCCCGGUGAAAUUGAAGUAUGGGUGAAGAUGCCCAUUACCCGCGACUGGACGGAAAGACCCCGUAGAGCUUUACUGCAGCCUGAUAUUGAGUUUCGGUAACUGAUGCACAGGAUAGGUGGGAGUCUGAGAGACAUGGGUUUCGGCUCAUGUGGAGACGGUGUUGGGAUACCACUCUUCGGUUACUGAAAUUCUAACAUAGCUCUGUGAAACCAGAGGAUGGACAGUGUCAGGUGGACAGUUUGACUGGGGCGGUCGCCUCCGAAAGAGUAACGGAGGCGCCCAAAGGUACCCUCAGAAUGGAUGGAAACCAUUCGAAGAGCGCAAAGGCAGAAGGGUGCCUGACUGCGAGAUUGACAAAUCGAGCAGAGACGAAAGUCGGGCUUAGUGAUCCGGCGGUAUUGAGUGGAAAAGCCGUCGCUUAACGGAUAAAAGCUACCUCGGGGAUAACAGGCUGAUCUCCCCCAAGAGUCCACAUCGACGGGGAGGUUUGGCAC
rnacentral:rRNA from 1 species